rnacentral:rRNA from 1 species
UCGAACGGCAACGGGGUUGUAGCGCGAGCUAUGACUGCCGGCGAGUGGCGGACGGGUGAGUAAAGCGUAGGGAUCUACCUUAGAGCGGGGGAUAACUUGAGGAAACUUGAGGUAAUACCGCAUAAAGUUUGAGAACCAAAGCAGGGGACUGGAAACGGCCUUGUGCUCUGAGAUGAACUUACGUCCGAUUAGUUAGUAGGUGAGGUAACGGCUUACCUAGGCGAUGAUCGGUAACUGGUCUGAGAGGAUGACCAGUCACACUGGGACUGAGACACGGCCCAGACUCCUACGGGAGGCAGCAGUGGGGAAUAUUGGACAAUGGGGGGAACCCUGAUCCAGCAAUGCCGCGUGUGUGAAGAAGGCCUGCGGGUUGUAAAGCACUUUAGUGGGGGAGGAAGGCUUGCUGCUGAACAAGUAGCAAGGUUGACGUUACCCCAAGAAUAAGCACCGGCUAACUCUGUGCCAGCAGCCGCGGUAAUACAGAGGGUGCAAGCGUUAAUCGGAAUGACUGGGCGUAAAGGGCGCGUAGGUUGUUAUAUAAGUUAGAUGUGAAAUCCCCGGGCUUAACCUGGGAACUGCAUAUAAUACUGUAUAACUAGAGUAGAGUAGAGGGAAGUGGAAUUUCCGGUGUAGCGGUGAAAUGCGUAGAUAUCGGAAGGAACACCAGUGGCGAAGGCGGCUUUCUGGACUCAUACUGACA